CGCGGGCGGGGCGGCAGAAGAACGCAGAAGCGGGCGCGCGCAAGACAACUGGCUUCGAGCGGGGGCGCGGAGAGAGCGGAGCAGCGCGCGAGAGAACGGCCGCGGGUAGACGCACGCGCCCUGGUGGGUGAAGUGAGACGGGGAAGAGCGCGUGUGUGCCGGUACCUAGCCAGCGAGACGCGAGAAGGGCGCAAGCGCCGGCAGCCCCCGAGGCGCCGAAGGCGGGUGCGGGGGCGCGUGCGGUGAGGAGGUGGGCGGUGUCCGGAGCCAGGCGGUUGCUCGUGCAUCCAGAUGGUGACCUGCAUUUCCGGUGUUUCAAACUACCUCGUCAGCCCAGACUUCAUGCUGGAAAUUAUCAGUAAAAUUGGCAACUCUUGCUAAGAGAGAUCAACACUAUUCAUUUGUAUGGAGCUUCUGGAACAUUAUUAGGGUUUUGGAUUGUGUGACCUGGUGGAAGGCUGAGUCACAGAAGACCCACAGAGGCUUGCUGACAGCCUGUAGGAGGUGUUAGUAGCCAAAGAGAAUGACAGCACUGCAACUGGAUGGCAAGGGUGUAUUCAAGAGGACCUUCAGCUCCUGAGAGGGAAACCUUUCCAUUGGGAGGACAGUAGCAACACCCCAAAGACAGCUGAGGCAGACAGAGAAGAAUCCUGGAGGAUCUGCUCAUUGCAUGGGGGAAUGUGCUCAUUGCACAGGAGGAACCAGGAUCAGUUUAAAUUCCUCAGGGAAAGGGAGGAUUCAGGAAGACACAUUGAUGAAAUGGUUCCUGAAGCAAGAGGCAUGUCUUAGGGAAUGAGAGCCUUCCCUAAAGGAGAGGCUCAUAGAACUGGUGGCCAAACAAGUUGGGAGUCUGCCUGUUGCCAUGACAACUACACCUGCAAUGAACUGCCGUCACUACCACAUCUGCUCCUCCUCCAUCUGCUGCCAAGGGCACUGCCGAGGUGAAGGAGCCAACACUCCCAACUCUCUGGGAGGAAAACAUGGAGCCUGCAGUACUCCCCAGACCAGACGUUCCGGUGAUGCCCAAUACCCUUUGCUGGAGGGGCCUCCCUGAGCUCCCAGGCAGGGAACAGUGAGCCUGUGGAAGUCUCUGAAUCCAACUAAGUGCCCACCCUCCAAGUCCCAUCUAGGCGACAUCUUUCUUUGUCCUCAAGAACAAUUUUACCAUGUUAUUCCUCCUUAUCAGGAGGUGGGCAAGGAGAUGGGUGCAGAGACAUUAACAUUUGCCCUGGUUGAUGGAUUCAGACCAGUUAUGUUUUAAAUAUUGUUGCUUUACAUUUCUUUAAAAAAAAUUUUACUUAUGAAUUCCAUGUAGUACUUUUAAUAAAUAUUAUAGUUUCGUUGACUUGUGUGAUGAAUAUAAAUGCGAUGAAUAUAAGAUGUUUUUCAGGUUCGGGAUUGGGGGCCCACAAUUCAGAGCACGUGAAUUGGAAUAGUGCAACUGUCUGGUGCUAUCUUACUACAAAUACUUUUUUGUCCUACACCCAUAACCACCUCCUCUCCCCUUUCCCCCCCGAGGUUCAGAAAUAUCAAAAUUCCCCACAAUACGUGCGAUGGAUGGGGAAAGUGCAGUUAGUGAUGUGUGCAAACAGAAAACACUGCUAGUUCUAAAUGCAGCAGAACUCACAAGAUAGAAAAUGGACAGAUAAACAUCUUUAUAGCUUAAUUCUCAUGCAGAAAAUCAAAACGCAAUUCAAGUACCAACACAGGCAUGUGCCAUUACCCUGGGAUUAAACAGCCCGUCCUUCCCCCAAAAAACCUUGAUCAUUUUCAGUAGUAGUAGGUAUUAGUUCUUUGUAACAGCCACUAAGUGCAGCUAGCGCUGCUGACAAUAUAAGCAAUUUUUAAAAAUGGCUGCAUCCCGCUCACCCAAUCAAAUGUUGAUAAGGUGACUAAAAGACAUUGAAUGCUCCUGAUAACAUUGGUUUGUAAACAAGUGUGAACAGUGAAGAUUAAAACAUUCCACAAUGACCAAAUCACAACUCGGCCACCACCUUCUACACAAAAAUCCAACCCAACCUACCACCUUCUACACAAAAAUGAUAACCCAGAGGAAGCGCCCUGUUAUAAUUGUCUAUACUGUGUCACUUAUCACAGGAACAAAUGGGUAUAAUGACCCUUGUCUACACAGGAACAAAACACUGACAAAGCUAUUUAGAUGUAGAAGUUGGUACCAGUGUUUUCUCCUGUGCUUUUCCAGCAACUGCACAGUGUGAAGGUGACUCAGCAUGGGCAAAUAUCAUCUGCCUCCUUACUGUGCCAGGAUGUGCAUGUAUGUGUGAGGCUUUGGGGUUUAACCAAGACUGAUAAGGAGUUAAUAAGGGAUCUCUACCUGCCCUGAGUGUUUUAAAUGCUAUUCUGCUGUUGCUCACAGCCUUUGUUAUACCAAUAUAAUAAAAACCAGCAGGAUCGUAUUAAGAGGGAUAAGGCAAAGAUGCUACAUUUAUUGUAAAUAUAAUAAUAAAGCAAAAGACAAAAGUAAACAACAUUGUUUGACUAAUUCCUAUUACUAUUUAUUCCUUAUAUAUACACACACACA